ACAGAGAUCGUGGCUGACGCAGAUAACACCUCUUUCUAGACUGCUAACACAUGCAAGUUUGACGAUGGCUGAUGCUUGAUCAUGCCCUUCUACACUGCACAAAGCCACAGAAGGCUGUGAUAAUGGCUCAUGCUGGGUCACCUACUCCUAGACUACUCAACCUAAUACUGAAUAAUCUCUACGGGAGCAGACGGGUGGAUCUCCUGACUUAAUGCAAAAGGAUGAGUCUACAUGUGAUUCGCUAGCAUGCGCGGUAACGGCCAACCAAGGCUAUAAUGAGUACGCUGGACUGAGAACGAUGAUCAGCCACACCGGGACUGAGACACGGCCCGGACUCCUACGGGAGGCAGCAGUGGGGAAUAUUGGACAAUGGGCGAAAGCCUGAUCCAGCCAUGCCGCGUGUGUGAAGAAGGCCCUAGGGUUGUAAAGCACUUUAAGCAGGAAAGAAAAGCGCCGGGUUAAUAACCCGAGCGUAUUGACGGUACCUGCAGAAUAAAGCACCGGCUAACUCCGUGCCACAGCCCGCGGUAAUACGGAGGGUGCAAGCGUUAAUCGGAAUUCUGGCGUAAAGCAAGUGC
rnacentral:rRNA from 1 species